rnacentral:rRNA from 1 species
CCUACGGGUGGCAGCAGUAGGGAAUAUUGCUCAAUGGGGGAAACCCUGAAGCAGCAACGCCGCGUGGAGGAUGAAUGUUUUCGGAUUGUAAACUCCUUUUGUUAGAGAAGAUAAUGACGGUAUCUAACGAAUAAGCACCGGAUAACUCCGUGUCAGCAGCCGCGGUAAUUCGGCGGGUGCAAGCGUUACUCGGAAUCACUGGGCGUAAAGAGCGCGUAGGCGGGAUAGCAGGUCAGAUGUGAAAUCCUAGGGCUUAACCAUAGAACUGCAUUUGAAACUGUAAUUCUAGAGUAUGGGAGAGGUAGGUGGAAUACGUGGUGUAGGGGUAAAAUCCGUAGAGAUAA